rnacentral:lncRNA from 1 species
GAAGACUUAAAAAUCAUUAACAAAAUCAAUAAUCAACUUCUAAAACUCAAACUUAUCAUUUCCCCAAAAUCUGGAAGUCAUCAUCACAAGAACAUCUAUCCUUAAAUUACUAAAGCUAAGAGUAUCUAAGAAACUAAACAUAAAUAAUGGCUAGUCUAUGCCAGAACUUCAAGGCAUCAAGACAUGAAGAAGAAGAUCCAGUCCAAGCUAGAAGCUUUAGCUCACCCUGAAAUCUGGUGUGACAAAGACUGGCUAGAGUUGCGGUUGGGUUGAAGACGACGGUACGUUUGCUGCACUCCACAAUGAACAAAAAGAAAACAUACAAGUAGGGGUCAGUACAAAACACGAGUACUGAGUAGAUAUCAUCGGCCAACUCAAAAUAGAAAACAGUAUAUAUCAGAUAAUAUCAUAAAAUCAACUACAAUACUCAACAUGCGGCAUUUACAAUUACCAUAACCCUUGGUCACAACACCAAGCACAUCAAUGAGGACUCACGCCUCCCCAUCAUACUCAUUUGGGAUAUAGGUUCUUUUCAUUCGAAUUUAUUAACAUAAUUUCAAGAUUCAUUAUCUUUAUUCCUCUUGUGUCGGUACGUGACACUCCGCUCCCCUACUACUAUGUGCCGGAACGUGACACUCUGAUCCCCUAAUUCUACGUGUCGGUUCGUGACACCCGAUCCCCUAAUUCUAUGUGUCGAUUUGUGACACCCGAUCCCCUAAUUCUACGUGUCGGUUCGUGACACCCGAUCCCUAAUUCUACGUGUCGGUUCGUGACACCCGAUCCCCUAAUUCUACGUGUCGGUUCGUGACACCCGAUCUCCUAAUUCUACGUGUCAGUUCGUGACACCCGAUCCCCUAAUUCUAUGUGUCGGUUCGUGACACCCGCUCCACUAAUCUCAUUCUAUUAAUUCAUCAAGCCUUCUUUUAUACCAAGGCAUCAUCAAUCUCAUUACUUUAGUUCAUCAAGCCUUCUUUUAUACCAAGACAUCAUCAAUAUCAUUACUUUAGUUCAUCAAGCCUUCUCUUAUACCAAGGCAUCAUCAAUCUCAUUACUUUAGUUCAUCAAGCCUUCUCUUAUACCAAGGCAUCAUCAUUAACAAGGUAAAUUUAGGAUUAGAGAUUCAAUAGACUCAUCAUGCUUAUUCAUCACAAUUAUAUAAUCACAUCAUGUAAGCACACAAUUAAGCAUAUAGAAGGUUUUAUAAUACUACCCAACACAUAUCAUUCGCUAUUAAGAGUUUACUACGAAUAGCAUAAAAACCAUAACCUACCUCCACCGAAGAUUCGUGAUCAAGCAAGCAAAUUUCCCAAAGCUUGUGUUUCCUCUUCGUUCGUAUCUCUCUCGAUCGUUUCUCUUUCCCUCUCCUUGUUCUUUCUAUUUUUCUUAUUCCAACCCUAUUUCUUUUACCCUAAUUAGCAUAUAAUUAAGUAUAAAAGAUGAGGAAUUAACCCACUAAUUAACUCAAGGUUAUCUCCUUUAACCCCCAAGUAAUUGAGUUAUUAAUAUUAAACCACUAACUUUAUAAUUAUAAGCAGGAAUAGUCCAAAACGCCUCUUAAAAUAUUUACAGAAAUCUGACCAGCCUGGGAUUACGCAACCUGUGACGGUCCGUCCUGCAGGUCCGUAGCAAAGUUCAGAGAGUUAAUUUUUGUGGAAAAUGUGUGACGGUCCGUCGUGCCCACGACGGUCCGUCCUGCCAUUCCGUCACGAAGUUCAGAGAGCCGAUUUCAGUACCCAAAUUUCAGAAUUCUAAGUGUUUUGGAACGAGACCCCCAUGACGGUACGUCGUGCCCAUGACGGUUCGUCGUGGGAUCCAUCGACUUAGCCAGUUUUUCCAGAAAUAAAAUCUGCUGCUCAAAACGACUAAACAGGUCGUUACAGAAAUGUUACUCAUGAAAUUUAUUUAUUAAGAAGGUCAAUUUUCUAUUUUAAAACAAUUUAAAUUUUAUAGAAAAUAUUUUUUAAAAUCUUUUGAUCAAUGAAAUAUAAGUAAAUAGAUUUUUUUCGUCGUAUCAUACACAUCCUAAGUGGAUAUUAUUUUUCUAGGAAGGAUUUGUUAUUUAUUAAAACUGCAAUCAGCAAGACUGCUAAUUAUUGUUACUUUCAAGUUCUUUUCUAGUAAACAUGAAAGAUUUUAAGAAAAUAAUAGUAUGGUUUUAUAUGCUGAUUAUCUUUAGGAUAUUUAAAGAUAUAAUAAUAAUAAUAAUAAUAAUAAUGAUGAUGAUGAUGAUGAUAAAUGUUUAAAGUUGACUUAGUUUUUUCAGAUAUUAAUAAAGUUAAUGAAGGGGCUACAAAUCAAAUUGUAAUUUCAAAUUGAAUUGAUGAUCAAAUCAAAUAGAAAAAAUAUAUAUAUUCAUAGUUUGGUUUGACUGUCGAAAAAGGAAAACGAAAAUUCUUUAUCUGAUUUGAUUUUUAAAAAAAUAAAAUUUUAAAAUGAACUUAAAUCAAAUAGACAUAAUUAUAAGGAAAUCGAAAAAUCACAAAAUAGAACCUCACUAAAAUCGAAUUCAAAAAAAUUGACUUUAUGAUUUAAUUUGGUUUGAUUUAUAAAUUUAAUAAAUCGAAAUAAUUAGUUUAGUUUAUUUUUAGUAAAAAACAAACUAACCCAAUCUAAUCUACUAUGCAAGAAUUGGUUAUGCAAAAACUAAUUACGUGUGUACGUAUUAUUUAUUCAUGUAUUGAUUAUUUUAUCUUCUAUUCUGUAUAAAAUUAUACAUAGAUUCUCUCACAACUUAUAUAUAUAUUUAUUAUGCAAAUUACAAGUCAAACAACAUUCAUUUCUAAAUAUAAUAUUACGUGAUAAAAUCAAGCUCACAAUAUAAUAGAAAGAGAAGAAGACAAAAAAAGUAAGAUAAAAGAAAGAACUUUUCUUCUUCUCUUACUAUUAUAUUAUGAGCUUGAUUUUAUGACACGUUAUCAGCACGAUUCUCUAACCAACUGAGACUGGAUUUCAUCCUUGCAAAUUAUAACUUAGAUAGCUUGUAAUUGGAGAUAAAAGAGUGUAGAGUAAUAACACUGAGAUUUGCACCUGCAAUAUUAUUUUCAUGGAGGAGAGACAACAGAGUUUGUACACCUCGUCCCUUCAAAAUUUCUAUUUAAAAAAAUAAAUCAAGAUGGUUUGUCCAAAAAUGCAUCCAAGUUAUUUAUUAUCAUGGUUCCAUUAUUCAGAAUUGGAGUUGAUU